rnacentral:rRNA from 1 species
GCCCAGUGACUAAUAUUCAACGGCCGCGGUAUCCUAACCGUGCGAAGGUAGCGUAAUCACUUGUUCUUUAAAUGGGGACUAGUAUGAAUGGCAUCACGAGGGUUAUACUGUCUCCUUUUUCUAAUCAGUGAAUCUAAUCUCCCCGUGAAGAAACGGGGAUACACCUACAAGACGAGAAGACCCUAUGGAGCUUUAAAUACCUCUUCAAACGUUGGACCUCCUCCCCAGUUUUAAACUCACCUAUAUUAACCCCGUACGCUAUGAAGACAACUUUAGGUUGGGGUGACCGCGGAGUACAACAUAACCUCCACGCUGAAUCAGACUCUUUAAGCCUGAGCCAAGAGCCACUGCUCAAAGCACUAAGAAAUUAACAUUUAUUGACCCAAAACAUUUGAUCAACGAACCAAGUUACCCUAGGGAUAACAGCGCAAUCCAUUUCAAGAGUCCAUAUCGACAAAUGGGUUUACGACCUCGAUGUUGGAUCAGGGUAUCCCAGUGGUGCAGCCGCUACUAAUGGUUCGUUUGUUCAACGAUUAAAACCCUACGUGA